GAAGGCUCGUUGUGUGGUAGAGUGGCUGCAGGCGUGGAGGUUUGGCACAGCUGCACUCGUUAGUGGAGCAUGAGCAGUACAGGCAGCAGGAGCUCUGUGCUCCUCUGGCUACCUGUUACUUGUGUUUUUUGAUUGUUUUUUUUGGUUUUUGGUUUUUGCUUUUUGCUUUUUGUUUUGGGUUUUGUUUUUUUGUUUGUGACCUUUUUCCUCCUCCCAGCUUCCCGCUGUGGAGGAGUGUUUUGUCUUAAUUGUUUUUCACCCUUUCAGGUCAAAUGGACGGAUUGGUUGUUGGUCAGGACAGGCUUAAGGACACGAAGCAGGUGAACAAGAUGGAUUUGGGGCGAGGAGAAGGUUUGACGGGUUGCAGUGGUGUGGUGAAUAAAAAUGUCUUGACAAGAAGGUAUGAGAAAGAGUUAACUUUAAUUCUUGAAAUUGACAAUGGUGAUGCCAUUACUCCAUUAAUAUUAAUUAGGGGAACGGCUGAAGUAUGUGGGAGCAUUACAGCAUGCAGGGUUAUUGCAAAGGAUAAAUAUGAAGUGACUGUUAAUUCUGUCAAUGCAAAGGAGAAACUGCUUGAUGGAUUUUGCAUUGGGAGUGCCAGAAUUCAUGGCAGGGAAGUUACUUCUGAUGAGCUGGUUGUUUCUUUUAUGGGGCUGCCAGCUUAUAUAGAGGAUAAUGAUAUCCUGGAGAAACUACAGGCUUGGGGAGUUUCAGCGGUCUCUGAGGUGAGGAGGAGAAUGUGGCCGGGAACGGACAUCGCGGACGGCACAAGGUUUGUGAAGGUAAAAUUCACCACCACUGUACAGUCUCUGCCUUACUCGGCUAGGUUUGUCACAGCGGCAGGUCCGGAGUACUUUCGUGUUAUUCACGAUCGACAGGUUAAAGUUUGUCGAGGGUGUCUCUCUCCCAGCCAUGUGUACAGGGACUGUCCCGAGUUUCUGUGUAGGAAGUGUGGAGUCCAGGGGCAUUAUGCCCGCGAGUGUCAGGUGCCCAAUUCGCAAAGGUGUGCUACAUGCAGGCAAUAUUUUCCCCUUUGUGUUUGUGAAAAGGGGAAAUUAGAUGGGGGGAUGCCUUGUACCCGGGGUGCUGAUGCCAAGUCUUCCAUCCUCCCUGUUUCGUCUGGAUCGGUGGCUGCUGGUCUGGGGGAAUCAACUUUGACACGUUUGCUGGUGGAGGCGCCUGUGACGGUGGGGGCUGGAGGUAUUGUUCCUCGCCCUACUCCUAAACGGGGGGGAGGGGAGGAAAUCCCUAUCCCUGAUGCCUGGGUGGCAGAGGCUGAACCUGAGAUGGGGGUGAGUGCUGGGCCGUCUCCACUCUCUGCCCCUGAACAGGAGGAGGCGACUGUUGAAUUUAGGCGUACUCCUAGGCCGACGAUUAAAAGUCCUAAGCGGAGGAAAGACCAAAUACAGUCUGUGUCUUCUAUUCAGAAGGGAGGCACCUCACAGAACAGUGAGGGGAGGAAUCAGACUGGGCUCUCAGGAGGGGAUGUUUCGAUUGAGCGGCUGGCGCGUUUUCCCGUGUCACAGCUAUUCCCCCCUCGUAUCACCCGUUCGUCUGCCACCCUAGAACCAGUCCUGGACUCAGAUGAAGGCAUGGAGAUUGAUGUGAUGGAGCGGAAGAAACGGCAAUCUGAAGGCACUGGGAAGGGCGGGCUUAAAAAAAAAUCUGGACAGGCCACUGUACACAUGGUCGAGUCAGAGUGACCACGCGUUGCUCUCCGUUGAACUGGUACUUGGGGGAAGUCGGAGGACCGGCGGGCUUUGGGUGCUAAACAACUCCCUUCUGAAGGAUGAUUGCUACGUUUCCAGGGCUACUCCUAGCACCUGGGGUUUUCGUGAGGCCGAGAACAGCUACAAGGUUCUGGGAGUCUUGUUAGGUAAGCUUGCGGAGGUAUGUAAUAGGAAAACAUGGGAGAACAUUUUGAAUAAAAUAGAAAGUCAACUUAACGU